UUGAACGCUGGCGGCAGGCCUAACACAUGCAAGUCGAGCGGUAACACAGAGAGCUUGCUCUCGGGUGACGAGCGGCGGACGGGUGAGUAAUGUCUGGGAAACUGCCUGAUGGAGGGGGAUAACUACUGGAAACGGUAGCUAAUACCGCAUAACGUCGCAAGACCAAAGUGGGGGACCUUCGGGCCUCAUGCCAUCAGAUGUGCCCAGAUGGGAUUAGCUAGUAGGUGGGGUAACGGCUCACCUAGGCGACGAUCCCUAGCUGGUCUGAGAGGAUGACCAGCCACACUGGAACUGAGACACGGUCCAGACUCCUACGGGAGGCAGCAGUGGGGAAUAUUGCACAAUGGGCGCAAGCCUGAUGCAGCCAUGCCGCGUGUGUGAAGAAGGCCUUCGGGUUGUAAAGCACUUUCAGCGGGGAGGAAGGCGGUGAGGUUAAUAACCUCAUCGAUUGACGUUACCCGCAGAAGAAGCACCGGCUAACUCCGUGCCAGCAGCCGCGGUAAUACGGAGGGUGCAAGCGUUAAUCGGAAUUACUGGGCGUAAAGCGCACGCAGGCGGUCUGUCAAGUCGGAUGUGAAAUCCCCGGGCUCAACCUGGGAACUGCAUUCGAAACUGGCAGGCUAGAGUCUUGUAGAGGGGGGUAGAAUUCCAGGUGUAGCGGUGAAAUGCGUAGAGAUCUGGAGGAAUACCGGUGGCGAAGGCGGCCCCCUGGGCAAAGACUGACGCUCAGGUGCGAAAGCGUGGGGAGCAAACAGGAUUAGAUACCCUGGUAGUCCACGCCGUAAACGAUGUCGAUUUGGAGGUUGUGCCCUUGAGGCGUGGCUUCCGGAGCUAACGCGUUAAAUCGACCGCCUGGGGAGUACGGCCGCAAGGUUAAAACUCAAAUGAAUUGACGGGGGCCCGCACAAGCGGUGGAGCAUGUGGUUUAAUUCGAUGCAACGCGAAGAACCUUACCUGGUCUUGACAUCCACAGAACUUUCCAGAGAUGGAUUGGUGCCUUCGGGAACUGUGAGACAGGUGCUGCAUGGCUGUCGUCAGCUCGUGUUGUGAAAUGUUGGGUUAAGUCCCGCAACGAGCGCAACCCUUAUCCUUUGUUGCCAGCGGUUCGGCCGGGAACUCAAAGGAGACUGCCAGUGAUAAACUGGAGGAAGGUGGGGAUGACGUCAAGUCAUCAUGGCCCUUACGACCAGGGCUACACACGUGCUACAAUGGCAUAUACAAAGAGAAGCGACCUCGCGAGAGCAAGCGGACCUCAUAAAGUAUGUCGUAGUCCGGAUUGGAGUCUGCAACUCGACUCCAUGAAGUCGGAAUCGCUAGUAAUCGUAGAUCAGAAUGCUACGGUGAAUACGUUCCCGGGCCUUGUACACACCGCCCGUCACACCAUGGGAGUGGGUUGCAAAAGAAGUAGGUAGCUUAACCUUCGGGAGGGCGCUUACCACUUUGUGAUUCAUGACUGGGGUG
rnacentral:rRNA from 1 species